rnacentral:miRNA from 1 species
UUAUAAACAAUGUUAUAAUAUACUUAUAUAAUAAAAUUCAUUAUUAUAGUAUUCUUAUAUAUUAAUAAUUAUUACAUUAUUAAUUCCCCUUUUUAAUUUUUCAAAAGACUACUUAAUGGGCAACUAGGAAUUUUACCUCAUUUCACA